UACGUAGGGUGCAAGCGUUAUCCGGAAUUAUUGGGCGUAAAGCGCGCGCAGGCGGUUUCUUAAGUCUGAUGUGAAAGCCCACGGCUCAACCGUGGAGGGUCAUUGGAAACUGGGGAACUUGAGUGCAGAAGAGAAGAGCGGAAUUCCACGUGUAGCGGUGAAAUGCGUAGAGAUGUGGAGGAACACCAGUGGCGAAGGCGGCUCUUUGGUCUGUAACUGACGCUGAGGCGCGAAAGCGUGGGGAGCGAACAGG
rnacentral:rRNA from 1 species